rnacentral:lncRNA from 1 species
UGUUUCCGGUGAAGCACUUAUAUAGUAAGUUAGUGGGUGGUUUUCCGUUCACAUGGAUAGGCAACAAAGGGGCCUGGUAAGUCAUGAGGGUCCAGUGGAGGCUGUAUUUGGGAUCGAAGUAGGUUUAAGGAAGAUGGGCAGAAAACAUGAAGUUAGGUUUGAAGAAAGAGUUAGUUUUUUGGUUGGGAGGGUCUUUUCUUUAGUUGGUUUGUUGUCUUAGUGCUGUUGCUUGAAAUGAUGAAGGGAAGACAUGCAACAUUGCACAUGCUGGCAUGUGACACAAGCUCAAUGAUGGAUGUACCAAAGGGGAG